GCGGGCUGUGCCACUGCGAGGUAAUGAGGGCCUUCGUAGCUCCUCUCUCGCGGGAAGGUCUGAGGCAUCGCUUUGUCUCCCGUGAAGGGAGUGCCUUUGACAGAGGCAAGGAGUAACAGAAAGGCACUCGUCAUGGUCCUUCUGCCCGUGGAAGUCCCUGAGACUGAGGGUGGGUCAUGAUGAGAUGAGAUCGGCUCCUCACGAGCGCGUGCAGCGAGAUUGGCGCUAAUACUAAAUUCAGACUAUGCUCGC
rnacentral:RNase_P_RNA from 2 species